CACUUCAAUUAAAGGAGAGAUGUUGGCAUCUCCCCUGAUAGGGUUGGGAACAGCCUUUGGGCUUCCCUGUUAACACAUACAACUAAGGCUACCUAGCUCUCGAAGGUGUAUCUAACUUUAA
rnacentral:ncRNA from 1 species